rnacentral:rRNA from 1 species
GACGAACGCUGGCGGCGUGCCUAAUACAUGCAAGUAGAACGCUGAAGGAGGAGCUUGCUUCUCUGGAUGAGUUGCGAACGGGUGAGUAACGCGUAGGUAACCUGCCUGGUAGCGGGGGAUAACUAUUGGAAACGAUAGCUAAUACCGCAUAAGAGUAGAUGUUGCAUGACAUUUGCUUAAAAGGUGCAAUUGCAUCACUACCAGAUGGACCUGCGUUGUAUUAGCUAGUUGGUGAGGUAACGGCUCACCAAGGCAACGAUACAUAGCCGACCUGAGAGGGUGAUCGGCCACACUGGGACGGAGACACGGCCCAGACUACUACGGGAGGCAGCAGGAGGGAAUCUUCGGCAAUGGACGGAAGUCUGACCGAGCAACGCCGCGUGAGUGAAGAAGGGUUUCGGAUCGUAAAGCUCUGUUGUAAGAGAAGAACGAGUGUGAGAGUGGAAAGUUCACACUGUGACGGUAUCUUACCAGAAAGGGACGGCUAACUACGUG